GACUUUCCUGUGCCUAUGUGCUAUACGGUUAUUUUUUUGUUUGACACUUGAUUGCUGGAAUUUUAUCAUUCAAUAGCUGACCUUUUUCUAUGUUUUUUCUUUGUGGAAAACAAGAAUCCAACUUUGUGCUCUUGACUGUUUCAUUUUUGAAGAUAAAUGUUUAUUGCCUGGUGGGGUAUAGCAUGUAAUUGUAAUUGGAGGAAAAUCUCAUGAACUAGCCAAUCCAAUUACUAAUAGUCAUCUUCUUAAAUCUUUUUUUAUUGAAAAUCGGUUCAUUCUUAACAGCCGAAAAAAAAAGAUACUGGAGUCUGUUCUUCCAACCGAAUCGAGUGAUUCUAUUGGUAUACGAUGAUCUGGUUGCUGAUAAACAGGAUUGACUUGGAGCUCUGGCUCUCAAUUUGAUUUUUUGAAACCCGUUCUUUAGGUCCCUUUCACCUUGUUUUUAAUGGUUGAUGUGUUUAUGUUGUCAGUUAAAGCUAUUGAUUUCGGCAUCAACCUUGUAAUGAUCUUGACCAUCCUCGUAUGUGUGCUAUAAAACCGGUGUCUUGGGAUAGCUAGUUGUGUUCUAAUCACGUUGAAUUUCGAUUAGAGUGAAAGAAUGGAAUUUACAGAAUGGUGGGUAUAUGCUUUUUGGUUUUGUGAGUGAUGUGAGGCAGCUCAAGUCAAAUAUUGAUGAAGUAGAUAGACUGCAGUCCCGAUUUCACCUCUCUAUUCCGAUUACAAAUGGGUUCCGUGCAAUUCAUGAGCCAUUUUAUUGUCAUUGUUUGUGACAGAAGACAUAUUUCAACUUGUUAACGUGUUACAAAAUGUGUGUUGCCUUUAUCCAGAGG
rnacentral:lncRNA from 1 species